rnacentral:rRNA from 1 species
UACGUAGGGGGCAAGCGUUAUCCGGAUUUACUGGGUGUAAAGGGAGCGUAGACGGCAGCGCAAGUCUGAAGUGAAAUGCCGGGGCUUAACCCCGGAACUGCUUUGGAAACUGUGCAGCUAGAGUGCAGGGGAGGUAAGUGGAAUUCCUAGUGUAGCGGUGAAAUGCGUAGAUAUUAGGAGGAACACCAGUGGCGAAGGCGGCUUACUGGACUGUAACUGACGUUGAGGCUCGAAAGCGUGGGGAGCAAACAGG